rnacentral:rRNA from 1 species
AGCAGCCGCGGUAAUUCCAGCUCCAAUAGCGUAUAUUAAAGUUGUUGCAGUUAAAAAGCUCGUAGUUGAAUUUCGGGGUUAGUAGGUUGGUCAUGCCUCUGGUAUGUACUGGUCUCACUGAUUCCUCCUUCCUGAUGAGCCGUAAUGCCAUUAAUUUGGUGUUGCGGGGAAUUUGGACUGUUACUUUGAAAAAAUUAGAGUGUUUAAAGCAAGCUAACGCUUGAAUACAUUAGCAUGGAAUAAUGAAAUAGGACGUUCGAUCCUAUUUUGUUGGUUUCUAGGAUUGACGUAAUGAUUAAUAGGGAUAGUUGGGGGCAUUAGUAUUCAAUUGUCAGAGGUGAAAUUCUUGGAUUUAUUGAAGACUAACUACUGCGAAAGUAUUUGCCAAGGAUGUUUUCAUUAAUCAAGAACGAAAGUUAGGGGAUCGAAGACGAUCAGAUACCGUCGUAGUCUUAACCAUAAACUAUGCCGACUAGGGAUCGGAUGAUGUUAAUUUUUAAUGUACUCAUUCGGCGUCCUU